AAAAACGCGAAGCUAAACAAGUGAAACCGAGAAAAAAAGCGUAAAAUCUGGAUACCCGCUUUUGGACCUUGAACAAGGUGAUGUUGAUUGCUAAGUUGCUGUUGCUAGUGCGGCUGAUCGCUGCCAUUGUUGUCGACACCUCGUUGUUGUUUUGAAGUUCAAAGUUAACGAAACGAGUCGAAAGAGAGACGAGACGAAAGAGAGACGAGACGCAGCUGAGGAGGAGGAAGCACGAGCAAUGCGAAGAAAACAAAGAGAACAAGGAAAGGGACCAUCGACAACAGAAACAUAUAAACAUAUAAACAUGGCAGAUGAGCCGAGUUGCAGACAACACGGCGUAUGCGUAAUCAAUCAACUGCUGUGGCUGAGAAGUGGGACACAACUGCGCGGCACUAGCACCAUGGUCCCCACCCGAAGUCCCGCUGAGCAGCCAGCUUGUCACCCGGACGGGCCAUUGUCUUUCUUCAGCUGCGGAGAUGUGCGUGAGUCGCGUGAGGAUUCCCUCACGGACACUAGGCUUCUUUUUUUUUCGUUCUUGCUUGUUUUGAGUUCGAAUCAGGUGAGUAAUGAGUACAUUCCGAAAGAUGUUGUUCUAAUGUAUCUUUUCUUGUGCCAAUACAACUGCGCUGACGUGAGUCAUAAAGAUACAUUGAAUGCGAAUGUUACGUAUACGCCCUGAAGUGCAGCAGCGAUUGUGGAACCUGUAGAAGCCAUAAACUAAUGCCAGUAAUGAUGGAUUGGAAAUUGUAAGCUUUUUGCCUUCCCGUUUGGGCCGUGAGUCGUAAAACCCACAGAGUUUUUAUUUGGCACCGCUCUGAGCAUCUCUAGCUGGCACUUUGGGCCCGCCCAAAAAGCCGCUCAGACGCUACGGCGGACAGCUCUGCUUUUGAUUAAGCUCAUUUGCAUUUGAAUGGCACUGCUGGACGGUUUGCUGGAUGGUUUUAUGUUACUCCACAGGCGA